rnacentral:rRNA from 1 species
AAUGGGUCAGCGACUUAUAUUCUGUAGCAAGGUUAACCGAAUAGGGGAGCCGAAGGGAAACCGAGUCUUAACUGGGCGUUAAGUUGCAGGGUAUAGACCCGAAACCCGGUGAUCUAGCCAUGGGCAGGUUGAAGGUUGGGUAACACUAACUGGAGGACCGAACCGACUAAUGUUGAAAAAUUAGCGGAUGACUUGUGGCUGGGGGUGAAAGGCCAAUCAAACCGGGAGAUAGCUGGUUCUCCCCGAAAGCUAUUUAGGUAGCGCCUCGUGAAUUCAUCUCCGGGGGUAGAGCACUGUUUCGGCAAGGGGGUCAUCCCGACUUACCAACCCGAUGCAAACUGCGAAUACCGGAGAAUGUUAUCACGGGAGACACACGGCGGGUGCUAACGUCCGUCGUGAAGAGGGAAACAACCCAGACCGCCAGCUAAGGUCCCAAAGUCAUGGUUAAGUGGGAAACGAUGUGGGAAGGCCCAGACAGCCAGGAUGUUGGCUUAGAAGCAGCCAUCAUUUAAAGAAAGCGUAAUAGCUCACUGGUCGAGUCGGCCUGCGCGGAAGAUGUAACGGGGCUAAACCAUGCACCGAAGCUGCGGCAGCGACGCUUAUGCGUUGUUGGGUAGGGGAGCGUUCUGUAAGCCUGUGAAGGUGUGCUGUGAGGCAUGCUGGAGGUAUCAGAAGUGCGAAUGCUGACAUAAGUAACGAUAAAGCGGGUGAAAAGCCCGCUCGCCGGAAGACCAAGGGUUCCUGUCCAACGUUAAUCGGGGCAGGGUGAGUCGACCCCUAAGGCGAGGCCGAAAGGCGUAGUCGAUGGGAAACAGGUUAAUAUUCCUGUACUUGGUGUUACUGCGAAGGGGGGACGGAGAAGGCUAUGUUGGCCGGGCGACGGUUGUCCCGGUUUAAGCGUGUAGGCUGGUUUUCCAGGCAAAUCCGGAAAAUCAAGGCUGAGGCGUGAUGACGAGGCACUACGGUGCUGAAGCAACAAAUGCCCUGCUUCCAGGAAAAG